AAAAACUGUUUGUGUCUGCAAAACCCCCUCGUGUGCUGCUGCUGCCAAACGAGGCGAGGAAUGGGAUGACCAGAGCGGCGGCUAUAGAUGGGAA